UACGUAGGGUGCAAGCGUUGUCCGGAAUUAUUGGGCGUAAAGAGCUCGUAGGCGGUCUGUCGCGUCGGAUGUGAAAACCCAGGGCUCAACCCUGGGCCUGCAUUCGAUACGGGCAGACUAGAGUUCGGUAGGGGAGACUGGAAUUCCUGGUGUAGCGGUGAAAUGCGCAGAUAUCAGGAGGAACACCGGUGGCGAGGGCGGAUCUCUGGGCCAUUACUGACGCUGAGGAGCGAAAGCGUGGGGAGCGAACAGG
rnacentral:rRNA from 1 species